rnacentral:rRNA from 1 species
CUUCUCCGCCGGCGACCGGCGCACGGGUGAGUAACACGUAUGCAACCUGCCCCUGUCAGGGGGACAACCCGCCGAAAGGCGGGCUAAACCCGCGUACAUGCCACCGGGGCAUCCCGGAGGCAGGAAAGGCUUCGGCCGGACAGGGAUGGGCAUGCGGCGCAUUAGGCAGUAGGCGGGGUAACGGCCCACCUAACCGACGAUGCGUAGGGGUUCUGAGAGGAAGGUCCCCCACACUGGUACUGAGACACGGACCAGACUCCUACGGGAGGCAGCAG